rnacentral:tRNA from 1 species
UAGAAAGUGGUGUAAUGGAAGCACUAAGGGUUUUGAUCUCUUAGGUAAAGGUUCAAAUCCUUUCUUUUUAA